rnacentral:rRNA from 1 species
AUUGAACGCUGGCGGCAUGCUUUACACAUGCAAGUCGAACGGUAACAGGCCGCAAGGUGCUGACGAGUGGCGAACGGGUGAGUAAUGCAUCGGAACGUGCCCAGUCGUGGGGGAUAACGCAGCGAAAGCUGUGCUAAUACCGCAUACGAUCUAUGGAUGAAAGCGGGGGACCGUAAGGCCUCGCGCGAUUGGAGCGGCCGAUGUCAGAUUAGGUAGUUGGUGGGGUAAAGGCUCACCAAGCCAACGAUCUGUAGCUGGUCUGAGAGGACGACCAGCCCCCCUGGGACUGAGACACGGCCCAGACUCCUACGGUAGGCAGCAGUGGGGAAUUUUGGACAAUGGGAGCAAGCCUGAUCCAGCAAUGCCGCGUGCAGGAAGAAGGCCUUCGGGUUGUAAACUGCUUUUGUACGGAACGAAACGGUCUGGGUUAAUACCCUGGGCUAAUGACGGUACCGUAAGAAUAAGCACCGGCUAACUACGUGCCAGCCGCCGCAGUAAUAC